GAUGAAGAACGCAGCGAAAUGCGAUAAGUAAUGUGAAUUGCAGAAUUCAGUGAAUCAUCGAAUCUUUGAACGCACCUUGCACCCUUUGGACUGCUCCAAAGGGUAUGCUCGUUUGAGUGUCAUUGUACUCUCACACUCUCUGAUCCUUUGGAUUUGGGGAGCAGUGGACUUGGGUGCUUGCUGCUUCCUUGUGGCUCACCUGAAAUGCAUCAGUGCAUCUCUCGAUUGGACAUAGUACGGCGUGAUAAGUGUCUUCGCCGGCACCUCAUAUGAGGGUGGCCGAUCGGGAGCUCUGUGCUUUCAAACCGUCUUCGGACAACGCUGACAACUUGACCUCAAAUCGAGUAGGACUACCCGCUGAACUUAAGCAUAUCAAUAAGCUGAGGA
rnacentral:misc_RNA from 1 species